rnacentral:rRNA from 1 species
CGGAACGUGCCCAAUCGUGGGGGAUAACGCAGCGAAAGCUGUGCUAAUACCGCAUACGAUCUACGGAUGAAAGCAGGGGACCGCAAGGCCUUGCGCGAGUGGAGCGGCCGAUGGCAGAUUAGGUAGUUGGUGAGGUAAAGGCUCACCAAGCCGUCGAUCUGUAGCUGGUCUGAGAGGACGACCAGCCACACUGGGACUGAGACACGGCCCAGACUCCUACGGGAGGCAGCAGUGGGGAAUUUUGGACAAUGGGCGCAAGCCUGAUCCAGCAAUGCCGCGUGCAGGAUGAAGGCCUUCGGGUUGUAAACUGCUUUUGUACGGAACGAAACGGUUCUCUCUAAUACAGGGGGCUAAUGACGGUACCGUAAGAAUAAGCACCGGCUAACUACGUGCCAGCAGCCGCGGUAAUACGUAGGGUGCGAGCGUUAAUCGGAAUUACUGGGCGUAAAGCGUGCGCAGGCGGUUAUGUAAGACAGUUGUGAAAUCCCCGGGCUCAACCUGGGAAUUGCAUCUGUGACUGCAUAGCUAGAGUACGGUAGAGGGGGAUGGAAUUCCGCGU